GGGCAAGUGGCCUUGGUCCCUCCGGGGAUGCAGGCUGCAGAGGCAAGUAAAAGCAACAGGGCAAAUGGAAGUGACAUUUGGUGUUCUGACUGGAACAGGGAUUUGUCUGGCAAUGAGAUCGUGUCCAUUGAGGAACGUGCUUUUGAGCCACUGCCUUUCCUGAAGCUUCUGUGAGUGAUAAAGUUUCCUCCUGGGGUUUUUAGUGAAGUCUUUGCAUUGGGCACCCUUCCUGUGUCGGAAAAUGCUCCUGUUCUUUUCCCAGCAGUCCCUAAAUCUGCCCUGCUCAGGGCCCAGCUGAGCUGCAGAGGUCAGUGCCGAUGGCUGGAGGGCCACGCCGGGGGCACAGACCCCAGCAGGGUCGUCCACACGCAGCCAUCAGAGCAGCCAGUUCUUGCAGGCUCGGCUGCAUGCUGGCACAGAAAUAGAGUCAGCCCUUGGGCCCUUCCCUUCCCCUCCUGGGCAGGCUACAAACACUGAGAAAGCAGCAGCCUCCCCCCUCUUCCACCUUGCAUUUGCACCUUUCCUGCCAAGGGAUCCCGCUUCAGCCCCUCUUCCUGUGGGACAGGCCCGAUUCCGUUGUGUGACCUCCUCUUUCCCCAGAAACCUCUCCGGGAAUGGCCUCACGCAGAUCCGCAGCGGCACUUUCCAGGCCUGGCACGGGAUGCAGUUUCUCCAGGAGCUCAUCCUCAGCCAUAACCCGCUGGCUGUCAUUGCUGACGCUGCGUUCUUCAAGCUGCCCGCAGUGAGCUCUCUGUAAGUAUGGGCUCCUUUGGAGCAGACCAACAGAGAGCUGUGU
rnacentral:lncRNA from 1 species